rnacentral:lncRNA from 1 species
ACAAAGGAAAACUGUUCACUGUGCUCACAAAAGUCAAGUGGACUGAUGCAUUUAGACAUGGUCUCCUUGCAGAUGACAAAUACAGAUCUGUGUUGUGCGGUGGUGUGUUUUUCUUUCAUUUGAUAUUUGUUUAAUAUCUGUUUCCCCCCCCAACCCCCCUUUCCCUGCCCCUUUCCCUAGAACCUUCCCUGUCAUUCAUUCUAGCCCCCUCCUCAGCUUCCAGAUGUUAGUUCUGCCCUAAACUCCUCCCCUGCUAUUCCCUCAUUGAUUACUGUUCCUACACCCGUCCUCCUGAGUUCUGUAUAAAACCUUUGCCCCCCCGCCCACCGGGGUCUUGGGGCUCAUGGAAUAAAACCAUCUCGUUCCCCCCCCAAGUCCCGUGUCGCCUUCGUCUGUCCCUGCGCGCCACGAACUGAAACUGCAGAGCUUGCGGGGGAAAGCGGCCGCCCGUUCUCUUCCCUCACCGCCCAGCACGGCUCGGAGUGCCGCGGCGAGGAGCGCAUGCCGCGCCUCAACANAGAGCUUGCGGGGGAAAGCGGCCGCCCGUUCUCUUCCCUCACCGCCCAGCACGGCUCGGAGUGCCGCGGCGAGGAGCGCAUGCCGCGCCUCAACAUAUGGUAGCAGAGGAUGGUUCCCUCCUUCGUCUUGUAAAAAAAACGGGCAAAUUUGUGGGGGCGCCCGCCUCACAGAAGAAGAAGGAAGGAAGAGGAACAUCUACGGCCGUAAAAGCUCUGCCUGAUGCUAUGAGGAGCUGAGCGCCGAGCGAAAAAGAUUGAGGCUCCGGGACCUCUUUGUUCUCGCCAUCUUCCCGCCCGGGAGCAGCCGCGCUGCAGGGGCAGCCGGGCUGCAGAGCUUUUUGGCGGGCAGACUUACCCGAGAACACAGAGGGCGGUUUUGGCAGCGGCUCGGGGGAGCCUGAAGAGGGGCUGACCGAGAAGAGGUUCAUUCCUCGGUCAGCAUCUGCAGCGAGACCACCGGAGGCUGAUAGUGGCCGAAACCAAGGCUUCGGGGACGAGUCUUGGUUUAACGGGAACACCCAGGCUUCCGGAAGGGCCAAACCGAAAGAGAAGGAACAUCCCCAGUUUUUAGCGCGACUUUUCCAUCGAGUCGAGGAGAAGAUUCAAGCCAUCUCCGUCCGAGCCUGCAAGGUAAGACAUUCAAAUUGAACAAACCACAUCGCUAUCCGCUAACUCUACUUUAAAACAAGCGCCGUUAUCCGCUGACUCUGCUUUAAAAAUUUAAGAAGCUGAACAUCACAAGCGCCGCGACGAAGCAAAUUCUAAAUCAGAUGAAGUCACAAAUCCUGCUGUGCUUUGUACCCUUAAUUUGGACUUUGAUUUAGGACAAUUUUAUAUAUUCCAGAUGAAGUUUUUAUAUGUUUCAUAUGUUGUAAUCACAAUUAGUUUAUCAUUUUUUAAUGUCUUUCAAUUUAUGUUUUUUUAAUAAUAUGUAAUGUUACAAUUUGAUUUUAUAUUAAGUUGUUUUGUUGUAAUUAUAAUUAAUUCAGUCUUUUCUGAUAUUUUUUAACUUAAAAGCUGUGUUUAACCAUUAUUGCUACAGGAAUCACUCAGCUACUAUAUCGCUUCAGGCUUGCUGCAUUGCUGCGAAAUUUAAAAAAUUUAUUAGUUAUAUUUAGUUGAUCU